rnacentral:tRNA from 1 species
GAAGGUAUAGCUCAAAUGGUAGAGCACAUGCUUAGCAUGCAUGAGGUCCUGGAUUCAAUCCCCAGUACCUCCU